rnacentral:rRNA from 1 species
CCUACGGGAGGCUGCAGUGAGGAAUAUUGGUCAAUGGACGAGAGUCUGAACCAGCCAAGUCGCGUGAAGGAAGACUGCUCUAUGUGUUGUAAACUUCUUUUAUAUGGGAAAAAAACACGGUAUGCAUACACUCAUGUAUGUACCAUAUGAAUAAGGAUCGGCUAACUCCGUGCCAGCAGCCGCGGUAAUACGGAGGAGCCGAGCGUUAUCCGGAUUUAUUGGGUUUAAAGGGUGCGUAGGUGGAGGGUUAAGUCCGUUGUGAAAGUCUGCGGCCCAACCGCACGAUUGCAGUUGAAACUGGCAGGCUAGAGUACAGGAGAGGUGAGCGGAAUUCGUGGUGUAGCGGUGAAAUGCUUAGAUAUCACGAAGAACUCCGAUUGCGAAGGCAGCUUACUGGACUGUAACUGACGCUGAGGCUCGAAAGCGUGGGUAUCAAACAGGAUUAGAUACCCGGGUAGUC